GAUGAACGCUGGCGGCGUGCCUAAUACAUGCAAGUCGAGCGAACAGACGAGGAGCUUGCUCCUCUGACGUUAGCGGCGGACGGGUGAGUAACACGUGGAUAACCUACCUAUAAGACUGGGAUAACUUCGGGAAACCGGAGCUAAUACCGGAUAAUAUAUUGAACCGCAUGGUUCAAUAGUGAAAGACGGUUUUGCUGUCACUUAUAGAUGGAUCCGCGCCGCAUUAGCUAGUUGGUAAGGUAACGGCUUACCAAGGCAACGAUGCGUAGCCGACCUGAGAGGGUGAUCGGCCACACUGGAACUGAGACACGGUCCAGGCUCCGACGGGAGGCAGCAGUAGGGAAUCUUCCGAGAUGGGCGAAAGCUUGACGGAGCAACGCCGCGUGAAUGAUGAAGGUCUUCGGAUCGUAAAACUCUGUUAUUAGGGAAGAACGAAUGUGUAAGUAACUAUGCACGUCUUGACGGUACCUAAUCAGAAAGCCACGGCUAACUACGUG
rnacentral:rRNA from 1 species